ACAGUAAUAGGCCGCACUGCGUUCAUAAGCUACUGGAAUUUACCAUUCCAGGAAAUCAGCCCCAGGGCCUGUCUCCUAGGAUUUAAUAAGUCAUUUAUUAUAGAAUAAACAUAUGAGGCUUUUCAAAUGGAAUAAGGAAACCGGGAGGUGAGCAAAACCCUGAACUUGUCCUCUGACUGUGGCUCGGAACCAGUAGGAGAAGCCUGGGAUUUGCCACUUACUUCGAGAACUGCUCCAUGAAGCGGUCCCGGUGGCCUUGCAGGGUGUCAGCUGGGAGACCUGGAAGAUAUUGGAAUAGAGUGAGAGGGAAGAGGACCACAGGAGGACCAGUGCAAGCCAUUCUGGGCACAGUGGGCUGGAAGUUGUGUCCCUGACCAAGCUGCGGGAUGGAAGGGAUCCAGAGAGCCUGCCUGAGAGGUUGGCUGUGCGAAGGCAAAGAUUGCAGACAACACUCAGGAUCUCAGUCCGGUGCUCGUUCGGCCCUGCCACUGCACGAUGCUGGACGAGUGGCAGCAUCUAAGCGCCAGCCUCCGCCCCUACAGAGCGGGCUCUCUGAGGUCCUUUCCGCUCCCAGAUUAUGUCACUCUGUGUACUUCAACUACAGAUCACAGCUCAGCGAUCCUUUUAUUUCUCGCUUGGUUCCUUAAAUUUACAUUUUAGUAAUUUUUGGGUAGGUGAUGUUUGGUAUAAAUAGGGAGCACACGCAAAAUGUAUGAGAAUUCAGAAUGCCAAGUAUAUACGGUGGAUGACGAUGGUACUGUACCUCCGUGAUCUCUCUCCCAAGAACCCUUAGCCCCAGUCGUGAGAAAAACAGCGGACAGACUCAAAUUGAGGAACAUUCUACAAGUGUCUGACCGAUUCUCCCCUAAACUGCCAAGGUCAUAAGUCUGAGACACUGUCACGGCCAAGAAGGAGCCUAGGGAGACACAAAGACUAAAUGUAAUGUGGCGUCCUGGAUGGCACAUUAGGUCAACACUGGGGAAAUCUGAAAAAAAUCUGGACUUCAGUUGA